AUUGAACGCUGGCGGCAUGCUUUACACAUGCAAGUCGAACGGUAACAGGCCUUCGGGUGCUGACGAGUGGCUAACGGGUGGGUAAUGCAUCGGAACGUACCCAGAGGUGGGGGAUAACGCAGCGAAAGCUGUGCUAAUACCGCAUGUGAUCUGAGGAUGAAAGCGGGGGACCGAGCAGCAAUGUUUGGCCUCGCGCCUUUGGAGCGGCCGAUGUCGGAUUAGCUAGUUGGUGGGGUAAAGGCCUACCAAGGCGACGAUCCGUAGCUGGUCUGAGAGGACGACCAGCCACACUAGGACUGAGCCACGGCCCAGACUCCUACGGGAGGGAGCAGUGGGGAAUUUUGGACAAUGGGCGCAAGCCUGAUCCAGCAAUGCCGCGUGCGGGAAGAAGGCCUUCGGGUUGUAAACCGCUUUUGGCAGGAACGAAACGGUGUCCGCUAAUACCGGGCGCUAAUGACGGUACCUGCAGAAUAAGCACCGGCUAACUACGUG
rnacentral:rRNA from 1 species